UGAUUCAGCGGCGGACGGGUGAGUAAUGCCUAGGAAUCUGCCCGAUAGUGGGGGACAACGUUUCGAAAGGAACGCUAAUACCGCAUACGUCCUACGGGAGAAAGUGGGGGAUCUUCGGACCUCACGCUAUCGGAUGAGCCUAGGUCGGAUUAGCUAGUUGGUGAGGUAAUGGCUCACCAAGGCGACGAUCCGUAACUGGUCUGAGAGGAUGAUCAGUCACACUGGAACUGAGACACGGUCCAGACUCCUACGGGAGGCAGCAGUGGGGAAUAUUGGACAAUGGGCGAAAGCCUGAUCCAGCCAUGCCGCGUGUGUGAAGAAGGUCUUCGGAUUGUAAAGCACUUUAAGUUGGGAGGAAGGGCAGUAAGCUAAUACCUUGCUGUUUUGACGUUACCAACAGAAUAAGCACCGGCUAACUUCGUGCCAGCAGCCGCGGUAAUACGAAGGGUGCAAGCGUUAAUCGGAAUUACUGGGCGUAAAGCGCGCGUAGGUGGUUCAGCAAGUUGGAUGUGAAAUCCCCGGGCUCAACCUGGGAACUGCAUCCAAAACUACUGAGCUAGAGUACAGUAGAGGGUGGUGGAAUUUCCUGUGUAGCGGUGA
rnacentral:rRNA from 1 species